ACGGGCUGUUGCUGGUCCUCGAAUGGGGACAUGUGCACGCUCUGUUUACACAUCCACUCACACCUGUGCACCCUCUGUAGUUUUACGGUCUGGGGGACCCUGUCUUCCUUCUGUAGUUCUACGUCUUUACACACACACUGUAAUAAAGUCUUAUGGAAUGUAUGCCGCGUCUAACGCAAAACAAUACAACUUUCAGCAACGGAUCUCUUGGCUCUCGCAUCGAUGAAGAACGCAGCGAAAUGCGAUAAGUAAUGUGAAUUGCAGAAUUCAGUGAAUCAUCGAAUCUUUGAACGCACCUUGCGCCCCUUGGAUAUUCCGAGGGGCAUGCCUGUUUGAGUAUCAUGAACACCUCAACUCUCAUGGUUUGCCAUGACGAGCUUGGAACUUGGGGGUUUUGCUGGCCUGUGGUCGGCUCCUCUCAAAUGAAUCAGCCUCCCAGUGUUUGGUGGCAUCACGGGUGUGAUAACUAUCUACGCUCGCGGUUGUCCACCAGGUAACCUUUGGUGACAAAGGUUCGCUGGAGCUCACAGAUGUCUCUCCUCAGCGAGGACAGCUUUUUAACGUUCGAUCUCAAAUCAGGUAGGACUACCCGCUGAACUUAAGCAUAUCAAUAAGCGGAGGAAAAGAAACUAACAAGGAUUCCCCUAGUAACUGCGAGUGAAGCGGGAAGAGCUCAAAUUUAAAAUCUGGCGUGCCUCUGGUCGUCCGAGUUGUAGUCUAGAGAAGUGUUUUCCGCGCUGGACCGUGUA
rnacentral:rRNA from 1 species